rnacentral:rRNA from 1 species
ACCAACAGGGAUUGCCUUAGUAACGGCGAGUGAAGCGGCAAUAGCUCAAAUUUGAAAGCUGGCCCCUUCGGGGUCCGCGUUGUAAUUUGUAGAGGAUGAUUCGGCGAGGGCUCCCGUCUAAGUCCCUUGGAACAGGGCGUCAUAGAGGGUGAGAAUCCCGUAUGUGAUGGGCUGCCUUAGCCAUGUGAAUCUCCUUCGACGAGUCGAGUUGUUUGGGAAUGCAGCUCUAAAUGGGAGGUAAAUUUCUUCUAAAGCUAAAUACCGGCCAGAGACCGAUAGCGCACAAGUAGAGUGAUCGAAAGAUGAAAAGCACUUUGGAAAGAGAGUUAAAAAGUACGUGAAAUUGUUGAAAGGGAAGCGCUUGCAGCCAGACUUGUCCGCAGUUGCUCAGCUUGUCUCCUGACAGGCGUACUCUUCUGCGGCCAGGCCAGCAUCAGUUCGGGCGGUCGGAUAAAGACCUGGGGAAUGUAGCUCCUCUCGGGGAGUGUUAUAGCCCUGGGUGCAAUGCGGCCAGCCUGGACUGAGGAUCUCGCUUCGGCUAGGAUGCUGGCGUAAUGGCUGUAAGCGGCCCGUCUUGAAACACGGACCAAGGAGUCUAACAUCUAUGCGAGUGUUUGGGUGUCAAACCCAUGCGCGUAAUGAAAGUGAACGGAGGUGGGAACCCUCACGGGUGCACCAUCGACCGAUCCUGAUGUCUUCGGAUGGAUUUGAGUAAGAGCAUAGCUGUUGGGACCCGAAAGAUGGUGAACUAUGCCUGAAUAGGGUGAAGCCAGAGGAAACUCUGGUGGAGGCUCGCAGCGGUUCUGACGUGCAAAUCGAUCGUCAAAUUUGGGUAUAGGGGCGAAAGACUAAUCGAACC